GCGAGAGUGGCGGAAUUGGUAGACGCGCGGGAUUUAGGAUCCCGUGGCUUAUUGCCGUGGGGGUUCGAGUCCCCCCUUUCGCA
rnacentral:tRNA from 1 species